rnacentral:rRNA from 1 species
CCCUUAGAUGUUCUGGGCUGCACGCGCGCUACACUGAUGCGUUCAACGAGUUUUUAGCUUAUCUGAUAAGAUUGGCUAAUCUUCUGAAAACGCAUCGUGAUGGGGAUAGAUUAUUGUAAUUAUUAAUCUUCAACGAGGAAUUCCUAGUAGGUGUGAAUCAUCAGUUCACGCCGAUUACGUCCCUGCCCUUUGUACACACCGCCCGUCGCUACUACCGAUUGAACGUUUUAGUGAGGUAUUUGGACUGGACCUUCGGAGGUUCGCGCCUCCGUUGCUGUUCGGGAAGACUCCCAAACUUGAGCGUUUAGAGGAAGUAAAAGUCGUANCA